rnacentral:lncRNA from 1 species
AACAUGUAAUACUGGGGAAAGGUAAUGCUGUAUACUUCACUGUGUUAGGCAUCUCUCUACUCAACAUUAGGUUAUACCUUCAUCCCUCUAUGUUCACAGUUGAAGGGAUGAGAGAUGGAGGGAGGGGUAGAGGAGGGGUGGAGGGAGGGAUGGAGGAGGGAUGAAGGAGGGAUGAAGGAGGGAUGGAGGGAGGGGUAGAGGAGGGAUGAAGGAGGGAUGGAGGGAUGGAAGGAGGGAGGGAGGAGGGAUAGAGGAGGGGAAGAGAAGGGAGGAAGCAUCUUCAGACUAUUGAGAUUCAGCCGGCCUGAAUUCCCUCCAUUAUUCAAACAAUUCAGUUAGCGCU